rnacentral:rRNA from 1 species
UACGUAGGGUGCGAGCGUUAAUCGGAAUUACUGGGCGUAAAGGGUGCGCAGGCGGCGUCGCAAGUCAGGCGUGAAAUCCCCGGGCUUAACCUGGGAACUGCACUUGAAACUACGAUGCUGGAGUAUGGCAGAGGGAGGUGGAAUUCCUGGUGUAGCGGUGGAAUGCGCAGAUAUUAGGAAGAACACCAGUGGCGAAGGCGGCUCACUGGUCCGGUACUGACGCUGAGGUGCGAAAGCGUGGGGAGCAAACAGG